CCUACGGGAGGCAGCAGUGAGGAAUCUUGGUCAAUGGGCGGGAGCCUGAACCAGCCAAGCCGCGUGAGGGAAGAAGGUACAGCGUAUCGUAAACCUCUUUGGUCAGGGAACAAAGGCGGGGACUAGUCCCCGGAUGCGAGUACCGUAAGAAAAAGCAUCGGCUAACUCCGUCCCAGCAGCCGCGGUAAUACGGAGGAUGCGAGCGUUACCCGGAUUGAUUUGGUUUAGGGGGUGCGCAGGCGGCCUGUUACGUCAGGGGUAAAAGCCCGGGGCUCAACCCCGGCGAGCCGUUGAAACUGGCGGGCUGGAGUUGGAGAGAGGUACGCGGAAUGCGAGGUGUAGCGGUGAAAUGCGUAGAUAUCGCGCAGAACCCCGAUUGCGAAGGCAGCGUACCGGCUCCACACUGACGCUGAGGCACGAAAGCGUGGGUAGCGAACAGGAUUAGAUACCCCUGUAGUC
rnacentral:rRNA from 1 species